rnacentral:rRNA from 1 species
GACGAACCGAGCGAACGUUGUUCGGAAUAACCGGGCUUAAAGGGCGCGUAGGCGGGCCGCCAAGUUCGAGGUGAAAUCCUCCGGCUCAACCGGAGAACUGCCUCGAAUACUGGAGGCCUCGAGGCGGGUAGGGGCAUGCGGAACUGUGGGUGGAGCGGUGAAAUGCGUUGAUAUCCACAGGAACUCCGGUGGCGAAGGCGGCAUGCUGGACCCGAUCUGACGCUGAGGCGCGAAAGCCAGGGGAGCAAACGGG